rnacentral:rRNA from 1 species
GAGGAAUAUUGGUCAAUGGGCGCAAGCCUGAACCAGCCAUGCCGCGUGCAGGAAGACGGUCCUAUGGAUUGUAAACUGCUUUUAUACAGGAAGAAACAACUCUACGUGUAGAGUCUUGACGGUACUGUAGGAAUAAGGAUCGGCUAACUCCGUGCCAGCAGCCGCGGUAAUACGGAGGAUCCAAGCGUUAUCCGGAAUCAUUGGGUUUAAAGGGUCCGUAGGCGGUCUUAUAAGUCAGUGGUGAAAUCCCAUCGCUCAACGAUGGAACUGCCAUUGAUACUGUAAGACUUGAAUGCUUAGGAAGUAACUAGAAUAUGUAGUGUAGCGGUGAAAUGCUUAGAUAUUACAUGGAAUACCAAUUGCGAAGGCAGGUUACUACUAAGUGAUUGACGCUGAUGGACGAAAGCGUGGGGAUCGAAC